rnacentral:lncRNA from 1 species
AUAUCUGCUCUAGGAUAAGGUUUCCUUGCUCCACCUUAGUAUUUUUCUGUUAUUUUCCUGCUCACAUUCCUUUUUUGAAAUCUCUAAUCUGUUGAUGCUCCGUCCCUCAUCCUUUGUAGUGUUACUUAUUUUUUAUUCUUGUACUCUCAUUUUAGUAGGUCUUAAAAGAGGUAAAAACAUGUGUGAUCUCUGUCCCAUCUUUAACUAGAAAUCGUUGAAUAUUUGUAAGCAGAAAAAUGAACAGAUCAAAUGUCAUUUCACAAAGACCCACCUGGUUAGAGUUUGAAGUAUAGCAGCAUAAACUAAAAGACUUGGUUUUCAUAAAUGUAAUUCUGUGAUGCUUAUAAUACUUAGCACACAACAUAGAUAAUAAAACUAUUUAUUAAAAUAAUGACAUAAAUAGUAUAUUCUUAGACAUAUGUAAAUCAUAUUUCAUAUUUAAUGGAAUACUGUCAUCUAGAAACAAUACUUUCUUCUACUAAAAGCAAAAUAUUAUGUCAACAUAAAAUUUUAAUAAAUUAUACUAUAUUUAUAUAAUAUGUUAUUCUCCAGGCCGAAACAGAAGUGACUUGCUAUAGAAAUCAUAUAAUCUCUACAUACUCUAGCAGGGCUUUUCCACCUAUCUCUUACUAUUGAAUGUAAAUGCAAUUUUGCAUAGAAUAGCAGUAAAUUAGUCUUAAAUUAGCCUUUGAUUUAGAAUUUUAUGAUUCUUUAUUUACAGUAAAUUGACAGCUAUGAAGAUCAAAAUACUUUCUCAUAAGGUGGCAAUGAUGAUUAAAUGAGAUAAAAUAUAUAAUGCUCAUUUUCUCCUUCUUCAUACUGUAGACCCAUUUUUAAGCCACCUCUAGAAUAUCUCCAUAACUAGAGUAAAUUCACUGAUCAAAUCCACUAACCUGUGUCUAUAUGAAAAUUUUGGUAUUUUAAAGGGAACUGCUGCCAACUUAUGGCAUGUUAUAUGUGAAAAGUGCCUUUUCUGCUGUCUUGCAGUAUUAAGCAGCUCCUUUGUGUCCUUGAUUAAAAGAUACAUGUAAGCUUUAGUGCUAUUAAAGAAAUAUAUAUUAAUUACAGCCCAAGUCUUUAUAAUGUGAAUAAUUUCUUUAUCAAAGUUCCAGCUCUAUAAAUUGUAUUCACUUAAAUGUUUUUCAGUAUUUUCCAUCUUAAUUAUUGUGCUGUCGUAUGUGUGAUUUCCCCUUAGGGAUAUUGAAUAGAAUAAGAAAAAUGCUCUUAGACAAGUUGCAUUCAUUUGAAUCUCCCUUAAAAAGAACUACACAUAUAUAAAAAUUAUAUGUGGUAGAGUUUUAUUACACAUUAUUAGGCUCUCUCAUUUACUUCCUGUCUUCCACACAACUUGGGGGAGGGGAAAGGAGAAAUUUUAAAUCCAUAACCUAAUAAAUUCAGUAGGUUUUGAAGAAAAAAAUAAAAAUUACAGAAAAGGUAAUUCCAGGCUCCAAAUAUCUGCAACUAUGUGAUUAUGGCUUAAAGAAAUUGCAAAACCAUUAUGUAUUUUUCAUAAUUAAAAUAUUUUAUCAACCCUUCAUGUUUCCUUAUAUAAAUAAAAAAUAUUAUAAUUUCAGAUAUCAUUAUUAUCAUAGCUAUUUGCCUUUAUUGUAAGGGGGAAAUUUUCAAUAUAUUCUUCUUAUCUGUUUCUGACUGUUCAGUGUGUACACACACACACACACACACACACACACACACACAUCUGAGAGAGUAGUGAAAACAAAUGACAUUUUAUUAAGUAAAUAACACUCCUAAAAGGUUUUAUUCAGUUUAAAUAAUAGAUCAGAAGUUCAUUUUUAGGGCACUAGCUUCUAUUUUACAUUGGAAUUAUUUUUAAAACCUAUUGUGCUGGGGUUUUUUUGGUCAUAAUUUGACUGUUAUGAUUUCUUGGUAGCACUAUAGCAAUCUUCCUGCUUGUUUCUUUCUUCUGUUCACAGUAUUCAAAGUGGUCCAUGUGACCUAGAUAUUGAAAAUUGAGGUAGAGUGUGCUGCAUUACUGAUAUUUACUGUGAAACCUUAGAAACAUUAUGAUUCCAUAUGCUAGAAUUACAGGGCACACACCGUUUAAUAUUGCUGGUAUUUUAAAAGGUCUCUGAAAGGCUGCACAAUCACUUUUAAAGUUGGCAUUAAAAUACUUUUUAAAAAUAUUUAAAUAUUGCAACAUAAUACUUUUUAUUCAAGUUAAAAAAGCACACAUAAUCAUUGUUCAUUUUUAAAUUUUAAAUCAUGCUAGGAAAGACUCAUUAUAGAUUUUUCCCCCAUUAAUUACCUUGUAUUUAGAAUUAUAGUAGUCUACUAAUUUUGAAAUCUAACCCCCAAAAGGUGCAAUUAGUCUGUUACUAUUUCCUAAUUUGGGGUGAACUCUGUUAAAUUAUUAAAAAAUAAAAUACUAUCUAGGUCUGCAUUAUAAAAUUAUGCUCAUCAAGAGAAGUUAUUUUAUCUUCUGUCAGAUUGGUGCACAGCAUCUCUUUGAAAAAGUCAGCUUUUACAUUCAGGAAGCCAUAUUCUCCUUGUGUGGAAAGCUAUUUCACCCUUUCAUACUUCUGAGCAAAAAAUAAAACCCGGAAAGGAAAACACUGAAUGAGUUAAAGCAUCUGCACGGUGACUGACUUUCAAGUAGAGAGUUAUAUAUGUACUGAAAGAAUCUGAUCUGUUUCUUUUCCCUCGUUGCAAAAAUGUUAUGAAAUAGAAGAAAUAACAGAUUACGUCACAAUUCUCAGCUAAGAAAAUUAAAGCACAGAUGUGCUAAGGAUUAACUCUGUGGAUUUUGUUUGUCCUCUAGAUGACAGAAAGAUGAGCUCACCAAACUAAUUCAUAGGUUUCUUUAUAUAGCCAGAGAGAACUACAAAAUACCAGGGCAGAUGACCAGACUCCACAUAUAUUGAGAAAUCUAAAGACCAUAAACUGGAUACUCAGUGCCUAGAAUCCAAUCUUAAGUACAAGGAGAGACAGAAAUAAGUAAGGAAUACAAGUAGGUAAGGCAGCUGAGCAGAAUGAGAUGCAAUAAACAAUUAAAAAAAAAAAAUACAGAAGCGUGGCCCAGAACCAGGACUGUAAACAGAAAGUGUGAACAAAACAUAUUAAUACCUUUUGAGCAUAGGAAGUGUAUCAGGAUUGGAAACUUAUUAUCAUUGAACAGUACACCUACCUCUCUGAUUUGGUUCUAGCACCUGGAUGAAUUUGUUCUUCCUUUGUUCCAAAUCAGUAUCGCCCAAACUGGUCUUCUCAAAGCUAUAUCAUGAAGAUAGAAAAUAUCAGCAUUCAAGUAAAUUUGGAAUAUUAAAGCAUGCACACACAUAUAUUCUUCAUAUUUUCUUCUUAAAAAUUCACAAUGCCUUUAUCAUGUAAAAUUUCUUAGUAGCCCUAGAGAAAAGAAAUCUGUAAAUCCAGCCUUUCCCAAACUUGUUUGAACUCACACUAUUUUGCAUCACAUCAAAUCCCAUCCUUUGGAGCUGUGUUCUCCAGCACACCAAUUUGGGAAACCAACCGUCCUAUUUUACAAAUGUUUCAAUGAGCUGUUACAAAGCCAUCUUUAAAAGGGAGGGUAUAUGCUGAACAAAUGAAUAUUUGUCCAAUAUUCACUAAUAUAACUGUUUCAACUUUGCAUGGGAUUCGGACCUUGGUACAAGAAGGGCUCACAUUAUCUGUAUAGUCAGACAAAUAAGAAAUCACCACAGCUACUUAUUUUUAUUUUAUUUUUAUUUUAUUUUUAUUUUAUUUUUAUUUUUUGGCCACCCUGAAGCACAUGGAGUUCCCAGGCUAGGGAUCAGAUCCGAGCCAUAGUUGCAACCUAAGCCACACCUGUGGCAACACCAGAUCCUUAACCCAGUAUGCUGGGCUGGGGAUCGAACCCACAUCCCAGCGCUCCCAAGAUGCCACCAAUCACCUUGUGCCACAGCAGGAACUCCAUAGCUACUUAUUUUUAAAGAUCACUUAGUGUGUUAAAUUAUAUAAGCUAGACUUCACAACACAGAACAACUGAUCCCAUAGUUUGGAGGGGAAUCACUUGACAUUAAUAAGAGCAUCGAAGAAUGUUUCACAAUAAUUAUAUUACACUCCUAGUAGUUCUUGGUAAAGAGGACUCCAACUAAAAAGGUUGUGAUCUUGUGUCAACAAGACACACAGAACUAUCAGUAGCCAGGAUAUAUUUUCUGUUCUGGAUCUGCAUCAGCUACCUGUGAGACAUUAUAAAAGGCAGUUCUUUUCUGAAAAAUGAUGAGAUUACCACUUCCCACCUAGAUAUUAAGAAUGAACUUCAAAAGAAUUCUAGGUUCUGUGCUCAAAUUUGUCAAAUUGUUUAUUAAACAAAGUAAAGCAAGUUUCUACACCCAAUAUUAAUGUGAAUUUCCAAAAAGUAGAUAUAGUAAUAAAAGAUUCUGCUACCCUGUAUCUGUACCACGUAUUUUAAGAGAUCCUUCAAAUGUAGUUUGAGAAAUACAGUUUUAAAUAUAGUCCAGGCUUCCUUGUAAUUCUGAAAUGUUAUACUCAAUUAUUUUAAAUUAUCUAUUUACAUUUUUCUCCUUACAAGAAAAAAAGAUUCUUAUAAGCAAAGAACUUCAGUCAUAUGCUUAUGAGGGAUCAGUGUUAUUUGAAAAAUAUCUUAGGUCACAACAUUAUCUUAAAACAACUCCACAUUUAACUAGAUCUUCUUAAUUAAUUAAAAAUCAUAUAUAUGAUUUUAGAGUAUUGAGUAAAAUGUUUUUUAAGUUGUUAUAUAUUAAUGGUCUUUAUGGUUUCUAGGUAAAAUACUAUAAAAUCAUGUGCAUAUUAUAUUUUACUUUAAAAAAAUUUCAUGCUACAGCUCUAAGGAAAUAAUAGCUAAAGAAGAAGUAGUUUUUCCAAAAUAGGACCAUUGUUGGUUUUCAUCACUUAAUUUAGUAAUCAUCACUGUCAUGUGUGAUAGCUAGUCUUCUAAAGCUUUUUGAAUAAGAGUAGUAACUUUAUGCUAUGGAAAAAAAAUAAUGGAAGAAUGUUUUACUUCUUUGGAGGCAAAGAAAAUUUACUUGCAAAAAAUAUUUGGGUUUAGGACAUUGUUUGAAGAGACUUACACUGGCCAAAUUUGAGACAAUUUGAACAUCAAAAGAAGUAAUGAUGACAAUGAAUUAAAACACACUGAAUAAAAUAAGAAUCCAUUAAAUGAAUAAGUAAAUAAAUGAGAGAGAGGAGAAAACUCUUCCUUAAAUUAGAAUGACAACUAAUACAAGAGAUAAUAGAGUUAGAAAACCAUCAAUGGAUGCUAAAAUUAGUGGGUAGCAUUUUACAUAAAAUACUUUCAAAAUACUUCUCCAUGAAUUCUUUUUUAAUUAUAAAGGAGACUUGGUAAUUUGACAGUAGAGAAACUGGUAGACAUCACAUUAACAAAUUGAUGACCAAUACUGGAUUAAACUGACAUUUCAUGUGCCUCCUGAUAGAUGCACUUGAAAAGGACACAGCAUUACCUCCGUAAUAUUCCCACUAAAAUGCAUAACACAAAGCUAACCAUAAGGAAACAUCAGACAAACUUAAAAUGAGGGACACUUAACAAAAUAACUGGCCUGCAUUCUUCGAAAAUGUCAAGAUCAGAAACAAGUGAAAGUUUCAUUUUAAAGGAAGCUAAAGAAUCUUUAACAACUAAAUGUGUGGUAAUGGAUUGGAUCUUGGCCCAGGAGAUUUUUUAAAAGUAUAAAGCUCUACAAAGAGCAUUAUGUAACAGUUAUCAAAAAUUGAUUGUGUACUUGGAUUAACUAUAUUAAAUUUCUUGAUUUCAAAAAUUGUACUGUGGGAGUUCCCGUCGUGACUCAGUGGUUAACGAAUCCGACUAGGAACCAUGAGGUUUCGGGUUCGAUCCCUGGCCUUGCUCAGUGGGUUAAUGAUCGGGCAUUGCGGUGAGCUGAGGUGUAGGUUGCAGACACGGCUCGGAUCCCACGUUGCUGUGGCUCUGGCAUAGGCUGGUGGCCUCAGCUCUGAUUAGACCCCUAGCCUGGGAAUCUCCAUAUGCCGCGGAAGUGGCCCUAGAAAAGGCAAAAAACGACAAAACAAAACAAAACAAAAAAUUGUCUGUGGUUUUAUAAGAGAAUAUUCAUGUUCUAAGGAAAUGCUGACUGAAAUUUUUAGAGAUAAAAUGACACAUUGCUUUAGUUUACUCUCAAAAUAGCAAAUUAGAUACUUAGAUAACAAAGCAAAUGGGACAAAAUAUAAACAAUUGAGGAAUCUGGAUUAUGUUUCUGGAGAGAAUUCCUCAUCCUAUUCUUACACAUUUCUCUAAAUUUGAAUUUGUACCAAACUGAAGUUUUAACACUUAUUUUAACUUGAGUAUGCCCACUGAGAGUUAAAAGCCUGUUUCAUUAUAAUGGGUCACACUGUUCCAAGUAUUUAAGAAAAAAGGCCAAACCUUACAAAUUUAUUCCUUGUUCUUUGUCCAAACUGAUACAAUUAUGAAACUAAAUUAAUAUGGUAAUUAAUCCCCCUCCCUCAAGAGAAGUUAAUUUAUAGUCUAAUAGUGAGCCAUGUUAAAUUCUUUAUGUUAAAUGUACUAUAUGAAUUCAGGAUAUUAAUAUUUUAAGUGAGUGCACUUAGAGAAUGUACAGUGGACAGCUAUAUCAAGAGACACAUGAAACUAUGUCCAUUCUCCCCAACCCCCACCCCAUGUGCCACACAUUAUUCCUCCGCCCCCACUUUACAUGGCUAAUCCAAAUGUAAAGAGCUGGGAGUUCCCGUCGUGGCACAGCGGUUAACGAAUCCGACUAAGAACCAUGAGGUUGCGGGUUCGGUCCCUGCCCUUGCUCAGUGGGUUAACGAUCCGGCGUUGCCGCCAUGAGCUGUGGUGUAGGUUGCAGACGCGGCUCGGAUCCCGCGUUGCUGUGGCUCUGGCGUAGGCCGGUGGCUACAGCUCCGAUUGGACCCCUAGCCUGGGAACCUCCAUAUGCCGCGGAAGCGGCCCAAGAAAUAGCAAAAAGAAAAAAAAAAGAGCAAAUGUAAAGAGCUUUGUCCAGGAGUCUUUUUUGCCUUCUAUAAUUUAUAAUCAUUCUCACUACUCUGUGAAGGUGAUAGACUAUAUAUUAAAUUGAAAGGUCUUUUUAAAAGACUUUGUACUAAAAAAUUGCCCAAUUUUUGAUAUUUUUUGUGUCAUAAAUCACUGUAGUAUGUUUUAUUUUUAAAUAGGGUAAUCAUUAAAUUAUCCUUAAUUUUAAAUAUUUUGAGUACAUCACAAUUUUUUAAAACUUAGAACAAACAAUAUGUAUGUUAUGUAUGUACAUUAUAUGUAUAUUUACAAAAAGGAAGUAAAAUAUGUUUUACUUCUUUUACCUUUUUCAAAAUAUAAAUUCUACUUCUUUGGACCCAUAAGCUCUAUAGUCUUUAUAUACACAUUAAUGUUUGUUUUCUUGGGAGUUCCCAUUGUGGCUCAGUGGAAAAGAAUCUGACUAGUAUCCAUGAGGAUGUGGGUUCAAUCCCUGCCCUGCUCAGUGGGUUAAGGAUCCAGUGUUGCCGUGAGCUGUGGUGUAGGUCACAGAUGCGGCUUGGAUUUGGUGUUGCUAUGGCUGUGGCAAGGGCUGUUAGCUGUAGCUCUGAUUCAACCCCUGGCCUGGGAGCGUCCCCAUGCUACACCUGUGGUCCUAGGGGGAAAAAAAAAAAGGUUUUCUUUUCAGAAAUACUGUUGUUUGGUUGACAUUGAGAGUUGGCAAGUCUGAGUUAAAUCCAGAGGACUA